UACGUAGGGGGCAAGCGUUGUCCGGAUUUAUUGGGCGUAAAGAGCGUGUAGGCGGCCAGACAGGUCCGCUGUGAAAACUCGAGGCUCAACCUCGAGAGGUCGGUGGAAACCGUCUGGCUAGAGUCCGGAAGAGGAGAGUGGAAUUCCCGGUGUAGCGGUGAAAUGCGCAGAUAUCGGGAAGAACACCCGUGGCGAAGGCGGCUCUCUGGGACGGUACUGACGCUGAGACGCGAAAGCGUGGGGAGCGAACAGG
rnacentral:rRNA from 1 species